AGCUAAAAAAUGAACAAAACCUGAGAUGCAUGAGUGUCCUUACCAAAAGGAAGUCCUCGUUUCUAGGACAGGUCUGUCUUCGGGCCUGUGGGUCCAUAGAAUCAUCACAGAAAAAAUGAUUUCAGGAGGUCUCCCCCACUUUCUGCUCCCAAGGCCGACUCUGACUGAGCCUCGGAGGAGAGAAGGAAGCCAUUUCUGGGAGGCCAAAACGUCCGUCUUCCAGGCUCUUGCUAUAAGUCAGCCCGCUUUUACAGAUGAGGAACCAAGACCCAGGGAAGAUGGAGCAACACCUCCAACUAUGUCCCUAUUUCUUGGACAGCUUCCUAGAGGCCAGAGUUCACAGUUUGUGCAUUAAUCGCAAGGGAAGGCAGAGAAAAUCCAUCAAGUUGUACCCUACCCACCCUUUGGUGACUUUUCCAAGUAGCUGGGCUAAGUUCCAGGAGAAAGCUCUGCAGAGUUGGGCCUAAAUGAGCACCAUCAAAAUGAAGUUAUUAAUUAUAUGCGUUUUGCUCGUUCAAAGAGAGGCUUGAGACUCAAAACUGUAGAUUCCUGCUUCCAAGAC
rnacentral:sRNA from 1 species